CUUAAUUCAAGGUACACUUUUCUGCAAGUUAUAUAAUGGAACUUGGUUACCACUUAGCAUUUGCUAAUAGCAUUCUUGGUCGUCUUAUCUGAAGCCCGAACAUCGUCCUUCGAAGAUUGCUACCAUUUGCUUAAUCUCCAUGAUUACCUUACGUUGUUCUUUUGUGUUAUGAGCCCAGAUGAUCAUUAAAUUAUGAGCCCAGAUUAGUAUGUUCUUUGCUAGAAUGAACGUAGAUUUCUAUUUUCAUACUUAUGGUUCUGAUGAAUGAAAAAAAUAUUAAUUGACAUGGAUAUAAAUGUGUUUAUAGUACCUAUGGUCAUCAGAAGUUUUCCCAUGAAUUUUGAGCUUUAUGCUGUCUUUUUUAAAUCAUAUUCUAGCAAGGGUUUCAUAUAAUUUUAGUACAUCUUUAAACACAAUUAGCGUCUUUAUGGAACCAGAGUCAUUCAAUAAAGAUUUCUUGUUCAUCUCUAAAUUAAACUGUAUACUGCUUUCAUUAGUAUUGCUUAGCACUCUUGCACACCAUUUGGUUCAAUAGUUCAGUCACUGUAAUGUAUCUUCCCUGUACAUUAUGCAUUGUUUACUAUUUUUUAAUAUAUACCUUUUCAUAUUCCCAUGGCUCUUUAUUCUAUGAAGCACUUGGUUUGGUUAGAAGUCAUAUUAAUUUUUUAUUUGAAAUUCCCUCAAAAAUAUUUAUUUGAAAUGGCAAACUAUUACAAUGUAAUGAAUAUACGGAUAUAAGUAAUACAUAGGUUUUAUUUUAGGGAAGCUAACUAAUAAGUUUAUCUUUGGUCUUCCCAGGAAGCUCAUCAAAUCAACCAACUGACACACCCAUGUCACACUAUACUUUUAGACUUCUGAACAGCAAAGUAAAUUUCAGGGAGAAAUGUCGUAUUAUCAAAAUAAUAUUCCCUGCUCAGGAAAGAACUUAAACGUUACCAGCCAUAAAAUACAGCACCACCCACCUUAUUGUCGUGGCCAUAAAUGGAACCAUCCUUACUGACAUAAAUGGAAUCGACAAUAUCAUUGCAGGCAUCAGCUAAGCUGGUGUUAGAUGGAAGAGACCACCACCCUAUUUUUGUGGCAAGAGUUAUUACCAUUUCUUUUUUUGGUGUCUUGAGAUCAUGAGAUAGCCAGGGAAAGUUCGUCACCACAGCGAGUAUAAUAUGGGACCCUUAGGCUGAAGUUAUAAGCUCUAUGCACACCGAGAAACAUGUGUCUCGCCCUAGACUGUUAAGUUAUUACAGACUUGUAACAAGCAGAAAUUAGAGGUGUGAGUUCUUAGUUAUGCUCCUGGACCAAGUAUGUAGACCAAAUGACUUUCGUUUUUUUAAGGAUACAAUGCCUGAUAAUUGUUUAUAUAGAGAACUUCUCCGUAGUGCACUCUACCUGUUCAUUCAGAAAGUUAUCGAGCACAUUGCAUAAGAUUUAACUAACUUGACUGAUCUACAUAUGUAUAUACACAUGCAUGAUGCAUCUGCUUUUAUAUUUUGCCAUUGCACUUGUGGUUGAGCUGACAAGACUUCUUGAUCAUCAUGGUGAAGGGGAGCGAUGGGUGAAGUGGUGCACGUAAAAACGAUCAGAGGGGAGAUGAUCCUGAUGGUAAAGGGGAGCGAGAGGUGAAAUGGUGCACGCAAAAAGGAUCAGGUGUAUAAAAUCUAAUUUCCCUGCAGUCAAACAAAAUAAUACAGGGCUACUGAGUGCUCUUUGUUAAUACAAUUGCCUCACUCAUUCAAUAAUUUCUUUAGUGUAUCUGAUAUGUUACAGUACUAGGGCUGUGAUAUGUAUGCGUGGAAAAAUAAAGUGUACGCGAAUUAAUUCAUGACAUGAGUCAAUCCUAUUUUCUCCCUUUUUUACUUUUAACUUCAGUCAGAAAUACAUGUUGAUGUAUUUAUGGACGCUUGAUCUGUUAUGGAGAGUUUGAUGUUUCUAGACACUGAUAAUUUUGUUUAUUGGCUUUAUCAAUAAGUUUUUUCAUCUCAAGAUAAUUUAAUUAAUGAUGAUCAAGAAAGAAACAAAUUGUUGGUUGAUCGAUCUUUGAUAGUAUGGAAUCAGCAUACAAACCCAACUUCCUCAUUGAAUUUUUUUUAUAUGCUAAGGUAGAGGAGUGUCACGGAAUUUGGGAACAGUAACUUCAAAUAGGUGGAGCCAUAGGCAUAGUCUUAUUUUUCCCUAUAAUUUUCGAUUGAUGCUAACUGCAUAAUAAAAUGUCAUCAUGCAACAUCUUAUAUAGUUAUGUAUUGUUUUGUUCCAGAAUUUACCAUGAGAUGUCAAGAAUUAGGAUGAGAAUCGGAUGUUGGAGACUGAGCAUAUAUUGCAGGUAUCGUGGCAAGAAUGGGAGGAGCGACGGUGUAGCCGAGGGAGAGGGAAUAUGCGAGCUGAAAGACAUGUUGAGACAAAAAAAGAAAGAGAAAGAACAUUCAAACAUGUGGUGUUAGGAGGGGGAGAGACCUUGUCUUUUAUAAUUAUCGUGAUAUUUUUUGAAUGCUAGGUAACUCCUCACUGCAAGGUGAACAGAAAGUCAUGCCUGACAGUGGAAAGACAAGCAUGUGGGCAGAGAGGUUGUAGGCAGCGAUGUAACCAACCCAUGGUGGGCGAGGACAAAUCAGUGUGGACGAGGUGGUGCGGGAAUGACAAUGGAUGAAAAUGAGGUGAACCAAGCAACGAAAAAUGAGUCUGUGGCUAAGUGCGGUGUAGCGAAGACAAGGCAGCACCAGAUCGAGGGAGAUUAUUAGAUUGGACAAGGAGCUAGGGGAACAUGAACGGGAAGAGUAUGAUGGAGGAAUACAACUUAUGUGAUAGUCUAAAAUGUAACAUUUGAAUCAAAUUUCACUAUACAUCUUGUUAUUAUCCCGGUGCAACGCACGGGCAUAUU